rnacentral:rRNA from 1 species
GACGAACGCUGGCGGCGUGCCUAAUGCAUGCAAGUCGCACGCAACGCCCUUCGGGGCGCUGAGUGGCGCACGGCUGAGGAUCACGUGGGAACCUGCCUCCUUGCGGGGGACAACAGCGCGAAAGCGGUGCUAAUCCCGCAUACGCUCGGGCAACCGAGGAAAGCUUUGUGGCGCAGGGAGAGUGGCCCGCGGCCCAUCAGGUGGUUGGUGGGGUACCGGCCUACCAAGCCGAUGACGGGUAGCUGGUCUGUGAGGACAGCCAGCCAGACUGGGACUGGGACACGGCCCAGACUCCUACGGGAGGCAGCAGCAAGGAAUUUUCGUCAAUGGGCGCAAGCCUGAACGAGCAACGCCGCGUGCCGGAUGACGGCCUUCGGGUUGUAAACGGCUUUUGGGGGGGACGAUGAUGACGGUACCCCUUGAAUAAGGCUCGGCUAACUCUGUGCCAGCCGCCGCGGUAAUAC